rnacentral:lncRNA from 1 species
UGAGCUUGGUGUCACAGCAACCCGGAAUGCAGACCAGAAGGGCAGUGCCAGCCAGAGAUCGCCGCUGAGCACCUGAGUGAGCGAGGGCUGUGGUGGGCAGGAGCAUCCCGUGGGGAUGGAUAGGAGCUGCUCCUCUUCUGCCUCACAGCCACACACGAGGACAGGGACACAGCGGGACGGCGAGGUGCUCCUGUCUUCACCCGCAUUUGUCCCCUACAAGAGGGCCACUCUCUGCAGGACAGUGGCGCAGGUGCUGGCACCAGACCUAUUGACUGCAGGGGCCCUUCCCACAAACGGACGUGGAAACGGCUGGCAGACCAACAACCUGAUGGCCAGCCACUCAGAGAUGGAACCAGAACAGGACACACGCCUAUCCUCAGCUCACUAACUGGUCUCCAUGCUGCCACACAGAAAAGGUGCUGGCACCAACCUACAGAUUGCAGUGGCCCUUCCCACAUACGGCUGUGGAAAUGGCUGUCAGACCAGCAACCCCGUGAGCAAGGGCCUGCAGGGGAGGGGAGCACAGGUAGCUGCUUCUUUGCUGCUCCUCUGUCUUGCAGAUGGACAUCUGGACACACACAGGACCAGACCACCGCAGCCUCCGCCAACCAGCCCUGUCUGCACCUGGACAAGGCACCGACCGAAGCAUGAGGAAAGCACACACCCCGCUCUGCACCGCACCAUGCUCCUACAGGAUCUGAGCAUCCGCACCGCAUGCACAAAGACAGCUCCACAGCACCUCCCAGCUACACACCCCACAACGGACCUACACACACACGGACAUUCUCCACAGACACGAGCAGCUGCUUACGUCUGCUCACCUGAGCAUGGAGUCAGGACCUUCAAUGUGGCACACAUGAGCAUCUCCAGGAACCACAUGAACUGUCUACAGUUGAACUUCAACGAUAAGGAAGGAACAAGAAGCUAAAAAUGAUGCAUGGGCCCAACUGAAAAAUACCAGAGACACCACAUCCAGAAGAGAAAGCAAGCACUAUAACUCAGACCGAGGAUGAAAGUUUAGGAAAGAUGAAGACUUGCAACCUUCCUCCCUCGACCCCCAGACGACCACCAAGAAGCUAUCACACCAUUAAAAAAAUUUUUUUUAGACCUUCAAAAUAAACUUUGUGAUUCAUUAAACCA